ensembl:lincRNA
AUUAUGAAAGACCUUUUCAUCAUUUUGAUCUGAAAUCUACUUUUUCUAAUAUGAAUACAGCUACUCCAGCUUUCUUUUGAUUAGUGUGAACAUGGUAUAUCUUUUCCCGUACUUUCUCAGAGCCGUCUGUUCUCAGGCCAAGCUCGCUUCCUACUCUGCCAUAAGGUGAGCCACCUCUACCUGCCUGGAGAUCGACCUGCGGUCAUCCAGUUCCACCAGUGCCUGGCUGGAGCUAUAAGUUGGUGCUGUUUGCCAGGGUUGGUGUCUACAGAGGGCCAGGGGAAUUCCAAGCGAGGGAAGCAAGGAGAACUUCUUGGACUCCUCAAGUUCUACCAGAAGGCAGUGCUAUGGUGUGCCCAACCCUCCCAGGGGCCUAAAUGGCCACCCUCUUGGGAAUGCCCAAAGCAUCUGCUAUUUAGGACUUGGUUACAGAGCGCCAUCAGCUUCCCCAAGGUUUGUUUUAUUUGCCACCAAACUGCCUGCCUACAACAUGUGGCACUCAGGACAUCCAGGUGUGUGCCGCAGGGCAUCAGGGAGAUAAAUUAUGCUUAUGUGCCUGGGACAACAGCCUCAACUGAUCACUCAGCUUUGAAUAACACCUGGCUACCUUGAGGACUGUGAGCCCUGCUGACCAUGGAAGUGGGAAAGGGAAAUAUUUCUGGUGAUGGCUCACCAGUUACAAUUGGCAAAGCAACCUUGAGAGGAUUAAAGUGACCCUUAGAGGAUGCGUGAGAGGUUAUGAUCAUCCCCAAAUAGGUGUGGCACCUGCUAUGAACAAGCUGUCAUGUUAAGUGCCCUGGGAAUAAAACACAGGUGCAAAAGUCUCUGCCCUCGAGGACCAUACGAAAAGACUGGCUGGAGAAAUAAUGAUGUAUAUGAGAGCAAUAGCCCUAACCAAGGUAACAUAUGAUAAAUACACAGGAGAUAUAUAGAAGAAAGCUCACUUCUGACAAGGCAGAUGUGGGAAAAAGAGGUUUGAGCUUCCCCCAGUCUCUCUUGACUCACUGUGUGAAUGAAUCAAUCUGUAAAUGGCCCUUGAGGGAUCUCUGGAUAAGAUUUCAACAGGUACAGAGGAGAAAUUAGGGCAUAUGGUUAGAAGGGAGAAAGAUAGGGUGGGGAGGGAAAAACCCAAGAUGUGACGAAUAGAAAACACGUUUUAUUUGGAGAGAGGAAGAGCUUGAGCACACACGUAGACAAGACUAUGGCGGAGGGCUCAUUUAGGGAGCUAGUGGAUGGAAAGCCUGGAAGGUAGAUUAAAUGACCCAUCUCAAGGGUCAUGGGGAGCCAUUGGCAUUUUGUUAGAUUAGUAAGAGUGACACCCAAUUUGUUCUUUGGGAAUAUUAUUGUGGUAGAGCAUGGGUUGGUGGAGGAAGAAAUUAGAGAAAGGAAACCAGUUGGGCAGCUAUUGCAAUAGCCAGGCAAAGACUAAUGAAGGCCUGAUGAGGGCUGUGGUGAUGAGAAUGGGAGAGAGGCAAAGGAUGAAAGAGGUAUUUUGGAAAUACAGUGGCCAUAGCCCGGCAGCUAGUUGGAUAUAGAGGGCCAGAGAGAGAACUGGAAGAUGAACUUAAUGUGAUAGAGAGGGGAGGUGCCACCAACCAAGGCUGAGUUGCUGGUUUUGAGGGAAU